rnacentral:rRNA from 1 species
AUCUUAGACAAUGGGCGCAAGCCUGAUCUAGCCAUGCCGCGUGAGUGAAGAAGGCCCUAGGGUCGUAAAGCUCUUUCGCCUGUGAAGAUAAUGACGGUAGCAGGUAAAGAAACCCCGGCUAACUCCGUGCCAGCAGCCGCGGAUAAUACGGAGGGGGUUAGCGUUGUUCGGAAUUACUGGGCGUAAAGCGCGCGUAGGCGGGCUGGAAAGUUGGGGGUGAAAUCCCGGGGCUCAACCCCGGAACUGCCUCCAAAACUCCCAGCCUAGAGGUCGAGAGAGGUGAGUGGAAUUCCGAGUGUAGAGGUGAAAUUCGUAGAUAUUCGGAGGAACACCAGUGGCGAAGGCGGCUCACUGGCUCGAUACUGACGCUGAGGUGCGAAAGUGUGGGGAGCAAACAGGAUUAGAUACCCUGGUAGUCCACACCGUAAACGAUGAAUGCCAGUCGUCAGGUUGCUUGCAAUUUSGGUGACGCAGUUAACGCAUUAAGCAUUCCGCCUGGGGAGUACGUCGCAAGAU